rnacentral:misc_RNA from 1 species
AAUUCUCAACUGCCUUCUCUUAGCAUUUUAUGUUGAGGGGGUGAAGUUGGAGUUGGAGGAUAACUGCUGGCGCAACUCAGGUUGCUUGUUGGCUCCUCUUAAAUGGAUGAGCUUUUCUGAUGGAUCAUGGCUCGGUAACACUGAUGUGAUAAUUAUCUACGUUAGAUGUGAACGCCGUGAGCGGAGCGACUUUUUGAAGCUCCUACGGAAAAGGACGUCUUUUGACUUGUAACAAA